rnacentral:rRNA from 1 species
UACGUAGGGUGCAGGCGUUAAUCGGAAUUACUGGGCGUAAAGCGUGCGCAGGCGGUUUUGUAAGCCCGAUGUGAAAUCCCCGGGCUUAACCUGGGAAUGGCAUUUGGGACUGCAAGGCUUGAGUGCGGCAGAGGAGACUAGAAUUCCUGGUGUAGCAGUGAAAUGCGUAGAUAUCAGGAGGAAUACCGAUGGCGAAGGCAGGUCUCUGGGCUGACACUGACGCUCAUGCACGAAAGCGUGGGGAGCAAACAGG